rnacentral:rRNA from 1 species
UACGUAGGAGACGAGCGUUGUCCGGAAUCACUGGGCGUAAAGCGCGUGUAGGCGGAUGAGCAAGUCUGCUGUGAAAGCUCCUGGCUUAACCGGGAGAGGUCGGUGGAAACUGCUCGUCUGGAGGACGGUAGAGGUAGGUAGAAUUCCCGGUGUAGUGGUGAAAUGCGUAGAGAUCGGGAGGAAUACCUGUGGCGAAGGCGGCCUACUGGGCCGGGCCUGACGCUGAGACGCGAAGGCGUGGGGAGCGAACGGG